GACGAACGCUGGCGGCGUGCUUAACACAUGCAAGUCGAACGAGGUCCAUGGUGCUCGCACCGGAAGACCUAGUGGCCAACGGGCGAGGAACACGUGAGAAACCUGCCCCGGACGGCGGGAUAACAGUUGGAAACGACUGCUCAUACCGAAUACCGCUGCGGAGCCGCAUGGCUCUCCCACGAAAGAAUUUCGGUCCGGGCAGGUCUCGCGGCCUAUCAGCUAGUUGGUGGGGUAACGGCCUACCAAGGCACCGACGGGUAGCUGGUCUGAGAGGACGAUCAGCCGCACUGGGACUGAGACACGGCCCAGACUCCUACGGGAGGCAGCAGUGGGGAAUCUUCCGCAAUGGGCGAAAGCCUGACGCAGCAACGCCGCGUGCGGGAAGACGGCCUUCGGGUUGUAAACCGCUUUCAGCAGGAACGAAAAUGACGGUACCUGCAGAAGAAGGUGCGGCCAACUACGUGCCAGCCGCCGCUGUAA
rnacentral:rRNA from 1 species